rnacentral:rRNA from 1 species
UACGGAGGGUGCGAGCGUUAUCCGGAAUUACUGGGUUUAAAGCGUGCGUAGGGGGUCUUUUAAGUCCGUUGUGAAAGCCCUGGGCUCAACCUGGGAAUGGCAGUGGAUACUGGAAGGCUGGAGUACGGUAGAGGAGGGUGGAAUUCCCGGUGUAGCGGUGAAAUGCGUAGAGAUCGGGAGGAACAUCAGUGGCGAAGGCGGCCCUCUGGACCAGUACUGACGCUGAGGCACGAAAGCGUGGGGAGCAAACAGG